rnacentral:rRNA from 1 species
AGCAGCCGCGGUAAUUCCAGCUCCAAUAGCGUAUAUUAAAGUUGUUGCAGUUAAAAAGCUCGUAGUUGAAUUUCGGGGUCAGUAGAUUGGUCGUGCCACUGGUAUGCACUGGUCUUACUGGCUCCUCCUUCCUGAUGAACCGUAAUGCCAUUAAUUUGGUGUUGCGGGGAGACUGGACUGUUACUUUGAAAAAAUUAGAGUGUUUAAAGCAGGCCAACGCUUGAAUACAUUAGCAUGGAAUAAUGAAAUAGGACGUUCGAUCUUAUUUUGUUGGUUUCUAAGAUUGACGUAAUGAUUAAUAGGGAUAGUUGGGGGCAUUAGUAUUCAAUUGUCAGAGGUGAAAUUCUUGGAUUUAUUGAAGGCUAACUACUGCGAAAGCAUUUGCCAAGGAUGUUUUCAUUAAUCAAGAACGAAAGUUAAGAGGUUCGAAGGCGAUCAGAUACCGCCCUAGUUCUAACCAUAAACGAUGCCAACCAGCGAUUAGCCUGAGUUCCUUAAAUGACUCGGCUAGC